rnacentral:rRNA from 1 species
UCGGGUUGUAAAGCACUUUUGUCCGGAAAGAAAACACGUGCCCUAAUACGGUGUGUGGAUGACGGUACCGGAAGAAUAAGCACCGGCUAACUACGUGCCAGCAGCCGCGGUAAUACGUAGGGUGCGAGCGUUAAUCGGAAUUACUGGGCGUAAAGCGUGCGCAGGCGGUUUGCUAAGACCGAUGUGAAAUCCCCGGGCUCAACCUGGGAACUGCAUUGGUGACUGGCAGGCUAGAGUAUGGCAGAGGGGGGUAGAAUUUCCACGUGUAGCAGUGAAAUGCGUAGAGAUGUGGAGGAAUACCGAUGGCGAAGGCAGCCCCUGGGCCAAUACUGACGCUCAUGCACGAAAGCGUGGGGAGCAAACAGGAUUAGAUACCCUGGUAGUCCACGCCCUAAACGAUGUCAACUAGUUGUUGGGGAUUCAUUUCCUUAGUAACGUAGCUAACGCGUGAAGUUGACCGCCUGGGGAGUACGGUCGCAAGAUUAAAACUCAAAGGAAUUGACGGGGACCCGCACAAGCGGUGGAUGAUGUGGAUUAAUUCGAUGCAACGCGAAAAACCUUACCUACCCUUGACAUGGUCGGAAUCCUGCUG